CGACGCUGGCGGCAGGCUUAACACAUGCAAGUCGAGCGCCCCGCAAGGGGAGCGGCAGACGGGUGAGUAACACGUGGGAACGUGCCCAAAGGUACGGAACAACCAAGGGAAACUUUGGCUAAUACCGUAUGUGCCCGAAAGGGGAAAGAUUUAUCGCCUUUGGAUCGGCCCGCGUCUGAUUAGCUAGUUGGUGAGGUAACGGCUCACCAAGGCGACGAUCAGUAGCUGGUCUGAGAGGAUGAUCAGCCACACUGGGACUGAGACACGGCCCAGACUCCUACGGGAGGCAGCAGUGGGGAAUAUUGGACAAUGGGCGCAAGCCUGAAUCCAGCCAUGCCGCGUGAGUGAUGAAGGCCCUAGGGUUGUAAAGCUCUUUCGACGGGGAAGAUAAUGACGGUACCCGUAUAAGAAGCCCCGGCUAACUUCGUGCCAGCCGCAGC
rnacentral:rRNA from 1 species